rnacentral:rRNA from 1 species
AGUGAACGCUGGCGGUAGGCCUAACGCAUGCAAGUCGAACGGCAGCACAGUAAGAGCUUGCUCUUACGGGUGGCGAGUGGCGGACGGGUGAGGAAUACAUCGGAAUCUACUUUUUCGUGGGGGAUAACGUAGGGAAACUUACGCUAAUACCGCAUACGACCUACGGGUGAAAGCAGGGGAUCUUCGGACCUUGCGCGAUUGAAUGAGCCGAUGUCGGAUUAGCUAGUUGGCGGGGUAAAGGCCCACCAAGGCGACGAUCCGUAGCUGGUCUGAGGGGAUGAUCAGCCACACUGGAACUGAGACACGGUCCAGACUCCUACGGGAGGCAGCAGUGGGGAAUAUUGGACAAUGGGCGCAAGCCUGAUCCAGCCAUACCGCGUGGGUGAAGAAGGCCUUCGGGUUGUAAAGCCCUUUUGUUGGGAAAGAAAAGCAGCAGGUUAAUACCCCGCUGUUCUGACGGUACCCAAAGAAUAAGCACCGGCUAACUUCGUG